UACGUAGGAUGCAAGCGUUGUCCGGAUUUAUUGGGUUUAAAGGGUGCGAAGGCGGCCUAUUAAGUUAGUGGUGAAAACGUUCGGCUUAACGGAAUACCCGCCAUUGAUACUGAUAGACUUGAGUGCGACAGAGGGUGUUGGAAUGUGUGGUGUAGCGGUGAAAUGCUUAGAUAUCACGCAGAACACCAAUUGCGAAGGCAGAUGCCUAUGUCGUAACUGACGCUGAGGCACGAAAGCGUGGGGAGCAAACAGG
rnacentral:rRNA from 1 species